AUUGAACGCUGGCGGAAUGCUUUACACAUGCAAGUCGAGCGGCAGCACGGGGGCAACCCUGGUGGCGAGCGGCGAACGGGUGAGUAAUACAUCGGAACAUGCCCAGUUGUGGGGGAUACCACUUCGAAAGAAGUGCUAAUACCGCAUACGUCCUGAGGGAGAAAGCGGGGGAUCUUCGGACCCGGCGCGAUUGGAGUGGCCGAUGUCAGAUUAGCUAGUUGGUGGGGUAAAGGCCUACCAAGGCAACGAUCUGUAGCUGGUCUGAGAGGAUGAUCGGCCACACUGGGACUGGGACAGGGCCCAGGCUCGUGCGGGAGGCAACAGUGGGUAAUUUUGGACAAUGGGGGCAACCCUGAUCCAGCCAUUCGGCGUGAGUGAAGAAGGCCUUCGGGUUGUAAAGCUCUUUCGGCAGGAAAGAAACGGCGAGCUCUAACAUAGCUUGCUAAUGACGGCACCUGAAGAAGAAGCACCGGCUAACUACGUGCCAGCCGCCGCCGUAAGAC
rnacentral:rRNA from 1 species